UUAAUACUCCCUCCGUUCGGAACUACUUGUCAUAGAAAUGGAUGUAUCUAGAUAUAUUUUAGUUCUAGAUACAUCCAUUUCCGAGACAAGUAAUUCCGAACGGAGGGAGUAUUAU
rnacentral:pre_miRNA from 1 species